rnacentral:lncRNA from 1 species
CGACUACUGACUAGGUUAUUACGUCACUUCAACGACACAUAACUAGUCCUGUACUGACUAGUGACUAGGUUAUGACGUCACUUCAACGACACAUAACUAGUCCUGUACAGACUACCGACUACUGACUAGGUUAUUACAUCACUUCAACGACACAUAACUAGUCCUGUACUGACUAGUGACUAGGUUAUGACAUCACUUCAACGACACAUAACUAGUCCUGUACAGACUACUGACUAGGUUAUGACGUCACUUCAACGACACAUAACUAGUCCUGUACAGACUACUGACUAGUGACUAGGUUAUGACAUCACUUCAACGACACAUAACUAGUCCUGUACAGACUACUGACUAGUGACUAGGUUAUGACGUCACUUCAACGACACAUAACUAGUCCUGUACAGACUACCGACUAGGUUAUGACAUCACUUCAAUGACACAUAACUAGUCCUGUACAGACUACUGACUAGGUUAUGACAUCACUUCAACGACACAUAACUAGUCCUGUACAGACUACUGACUAGGUUAUGACAUCACUUCAACGACACAUAACUAGUCCUGUACAGACUACUGACUAGUGACUAGGUUAUGACAUCACUUCAACGACACAUAACUAGUCCUGUACAGACUACAGACUACUGACUAGGUUAUGGGCCCAUUCCCGUCUAAACAUUUUGAUUAAUAACAAUAAUAUAUAACAACCAUAUAAAUCUCUCCUCUAUAAAUUCACAUCCACUUCCUGGGUCGUGUUGGGUCUUUCCUGUCCGUUGCUGUUUCCGCCAACCGAAAAAC